CUGAUGCUGAUCAUAAGUUGGAGGGAAUCUUGAGAGAAACUAUGGCAGAAACGAGCUCAAUGGCACCCACGACAGCGCAUUCCAAAAAAAGCAUAUGGAUCAUAG